UGGGCCUUUGCCAUUAACAUACUGUUCCUGGUAAUAUGCACCCAUAAUUUUCAACAACGUGUUAGGAUGAUAGCUUGAGUGUGUUGUACCUUGAAUGUAUGCUCACUAUGGUACUUGGUAAUAUAAAGCCUAUCAGAACUCUUGUACUUUAAAGUAUGUAACUUUUACGGGCAUCUCACAUCUCGGCAUGCUACCGAAGUUAAUAUAUUGUUACCCUUCUUCAUAUAAAACGUAAAAUGCAUUUUCACAUAAGCAACCUCCAACCAACCAUUUCAUUAGAUCCAAUAUAUUAUUGAAACAUUUCCCAAGAAAAAAAAACAUGUACCAUCAAGAUGGUUGUGCUGUGUAGCUAGCGAGUCCACAAAGC
rnacentral:lncRNA from 1 species